GCCGGGUGUGGUGGCGCACACCUGUAAUCCCAGUUACUUGGGAGGCUGAGGCAGGAGAAUUGCUUGAACCUAGGAGGUGGAGGUUGCAGUGAGCCAAGAUUGCGCCACUGCACUCCAGCCUGGGUGACAGAGCAAGACUCUGUCUCAA
rnacentral:SRP_RNA from 1 species